AAUCAACGCUGGCGGCGCGCUUAACACAUGCAAGUCGAACGAGAAAGGGGAGCAAUCCCUGAGUACAGUGGCGUACGGGUGAGUAACACGUGGGUAAUCUACCUCUUAGUGGGGGAUAACCCUGGGAAACCGGGGUUAAUACCGCAUAAGCUCGAGAGAGGAAAGCAGCAAUGCGCUGAGAGAGGAGCCCGCGGCCGAUUAGCUGGUUGGUAGGGUAACGGCCUACCAAGGCUGAGAUCGGUAGCCGGCCUGAGAGGGCACACGGCCACACUGGCAC
rnacentral:rRNA from 1 species